UCUAAAUAAGGCGCGUCUGCUUUGCUGUUUGUAUUCGUGGUUGAGUUGAAAGCAGUGGUUUUGUAAUGCAAGCGUCUUAUGUUUCGAGAAUAUUUUAAAUGCAGCUCGUUUGGCAUUUUUUUAAUCGUCCAGAGAAGGUUGAAUGCCAGGGAGGGUGUUGAUUGGUACUGAUUGUUCGUUUGGGCACAUGACUGUCGAUUAGGUAGUUAAGAAUAUUAGAAAACGUCAUCGCUGCUUCGUUCGCGUCGUCAUUGUUAAGAUUUUCGUCUCAGUUUAUAUCCAACAGCAUGCUAACGAUGCCGUCGUGGUCAGCGUUUUUUUUAAAUCGUAGACGAUAGCGCUUGAGAUGUCUUCAAAAUUCACUCCUAGGUUAUCAGCGAAUACAAGGUGUAGUGGGGGAUGAUGAUGCACAUGCUGGACUAAAGGAGUCGGAGCAGUACGGAGCGUAGUCCCGGGCACUUAAAAAGCAGAGGUCCAAUGUACGUCCAUUCUCAUUGGUGACAUUAUUAAUUUGCCGAAGAGUUGCGUUGUUGUAGUUGUCCAAAAUACAACUGGCAUUAUUGAUAAGCGCAGAUGUUUCGAUAUCCAAUAUUAGAAUCCCAUUACUUGCCUGGCAUAACGUAAGGCCAGGUGAGUUGAAGUCACCCAGUAUAACAAUUUCGUCAGACUGGACGGAAAUCGAGGUGGUGAAUGAAACGGAGGAAAGAUGUACAUCGAUCAGGCUGAAAUCACGAAUUCUGUCAGGUGGAAAAUUCACGACACACAGGAACAGAUUGCGAUUGGCAAGCUUCACUGAUAUCCACACUUGCUCGGAGCUCGCCCACCGUUGAUCGUUGAUCACUCGGGCUUUUAUGCUGUGGCGAACAGCGAUAAGCACAGUACCACCUGAUGUCUUGUGGCUGGUGAGAGCGUUACGGUCACAGCGGUAGACAUCGAAUGUUGAACCAAACACCUGGCGAGACAGAGUACGGUUGCCGAGCCACGUCUCGGUUAAGGCGAUAACGUCGUAACAGCAGCCCAUGGUCGCGAGCUAAUAGCUGUCCGUUGAUGAAUUUAAGCCACUAACAUUCUGUUAGUAAUCCUCGAUGUCGUUGGAGGACGGAUCAGGUUCAGCAGAGAGUGAAGCUAUGUUACCGAUUUAAGCGUAUCAGAGGACCCUUUCGUCAAUCCCACGAACAAUAUCGGAACGGCUCAUGGUCGCGUGGUCGACUGUGGUAGGGGUUCGAGGCAUCCCGAAUCUACUGCGUCGCGCCCCAAAAUACGAAGAUCAUCGUCGGCGAGAGAAAUGGUUGAAAUCUGAUCACAAGAUGUCGGAGUAAAAGGCAAAAUACUGGAAGCGAAGAAUUCAUCAGAGCUUGAAGUGUUCGGAUAAGAUGUAUACUUGUCAUUUGUGACGGGUUGGAGGACCCUUUUACCCAUCCCACACACACAGGACCGGGACGACUGAUGAUCACUGGCUGCAAUUGCACGACUGUGGCGGGGGGAUCGAGGGCUUCCAUAGUGCCAACUGCGGUGCGUCCUAGUAUGCGUUGAAACCCGAUGGCUUGAUGUGGAGAGCAGGAACGGGAUGGUAGCAGCUUAUGGCGAGAGUCAGUGGUAUCGUUACAAUUUUAUCGGGAUCGAGGGCUUCCAUAGUAUCAACUGCGUUGCGUCCCAGUAUGCGAUCGGCAUCGACACUCCUUUACAAUGGCGGUGUAGCUUGGUAUAGUGGCAUUGUUAAUCGUUGCAGGGUCUUCUGCAGAGUCGUUGAUGGGCCGGGUUGCAUUAGAGAAGUACAUGCUUCUUCUGGAGGCGGAGGAAAAUCAGUAGGCGGGCUCCAAAUGUUCUGGGUACGGCUGUACUCGAAUUCCCUGAACAGUAUGCCUUGCGGCCAUUUAUCCGGUUAAGAGCUGCAUCACGGUACUUUGGGUGAACUCCAACUUUGAAGGAUAUGAAGUUCAAAGUACUGACGUUUAUGUCUUUUUUAACAAGCGGAAUAACCUUUAUCUUCUCGUUACAAUUUAGUUCUUCUUUGGACAUUUUUUCGAUAGUAUCCUUGCUAACGAUGGGAUGAAAUCGAGAAAGAUAGGGCCAAAGUAACGGCGCGGGAGGUGGAACCGUAACAAUAUAGCUAUUAACGACUAGCUUUCGACCGCCAACAAGAAUAUUGCUAUAGCCAUCCUCGCGACGACGUUUCUGAGGUGGCCGAGAGGAGGUACCAGAGGUUGGGCGGACUGGAGUAGCUGUUGAAACCUUUCUAGCGAGGUGCGAAAUUUGCUGGCUAUUUUUGGAUAACUCGGCUUUUAGUUCGGCACAGACGACAUUCGUUUUCCCAGCGAUGGCAGCGAUAACACAUCCAAGUAAAGAAACGGUUUCGCGAAAGCGAGCGAACUUCAUCAGUUUAACCUAAUCAUUGCACAUCCAAAAUAAAUUCGGGUUUUCCGCAAGUUUUUUUCAAAAACGGCUUGUUAAGUGGUUUCCCACAUUGCAUGUGCACUACAUUUUUGCAAAAGCCCAUGCAAUCGAUAAAGUCGUCGUCCGAUUUGACGGUUUUUGCGCAGUGAUAGCAUGCACUUGCCAUAAUGUGUGCCGAUUUGAGAAUGCGAACAAUGAAAUAUAGAUGGCGCUGCGUUCGGUGGAAAAUUUUGGUGGUUAAGUCACAGAAGUUCGAUUACGUUCUUCGCUGUUUUUCGCAACACAAAAGCGGUAUUUCGUCAAAAAUAAAAAAAAUAGUUGGAGCGAUUGGUGGAAACAACUAAUCGGUAAGUAUACACUGUAAAAAAUGCAUCUCACAGUUGCGGAAUUUUAGACGAAGCAAAAGAUUUUUUCGCGAGAAAUUUAUUGGAGCACGCAGGUCAAAAAUUUGCAUUGGAUGGUCAGGUAGGAGGGAAUAGGUUUUGUCGAACACAUUCUCACCACACGUACGCUGUUGCGAAGAGUUUCCUUCAAGUAUCUUCCUUAACGGUAUCCAUUUCUCCGUAUUUGAAAUGAGUUGUUUGAUAGCGGUGGGAUUAUUACGCGGUGUCAGGUCAUAUAGCUCAACUUCAAUAAUGUCUUUGUCUAUGUGUGUUGGGAUGCUGUAUAAAAUGUGAUUACAUUCGACAACGUGUGUGAAGUUGUUCUGCGAAGCAAAUGAUUCUGCUUGGUUAACCCUCAAAAAGGCAAGCUAAAAUGGUGACCAAAAAGCAUCGCUCCUAUGAACAAUGCAAUCAAAAGCCUCUUUUUUGUCGUUUUAUCAGAGAGAGAAUCGAAAGCCCGAAAAUGCUCGAUUAUUCGUAUUUCAAAUUACAAAUUCAUUGAAACUAGAUAACUGUAACUAGCUGGGCCUCUGAGACCCAUUGACUUUUUGUGGGUUAAUGUUUUUGAACAUAAUCAAUAUCUCAUAGCGUAGAUGGUGAAAUUGCACAGCAUUACCUUCUGCUAAGUUGAACUUCAUGUUCACCUUCAACAAUUGCUCCACUGCACGAAUCGAUGGUCUUACCGGACAUUUUGAAAAGUCACUAGCAACACAGUUCGACCGAAUCGGGGAAUCAACUAAUAACUUUGCAUUGUCACUCAUUGGCCCUUAUUACGGGUAUCACUUCACGGUGAAAACGAAGUGAAGUGAUCAGCACCCUAUUCCGGGUGUCACCUUCGUGAUAAAAUAUGUAAGAGUUCGAAGUGACAACUUGAAUGAACUCGGUGUUAUUAUGAACGUCACGCCACGAUCGCUUUGUCGAAAAAAAUGACACUUCUCGUGUAUUUUUUUCCACCAUCAUUUUCAAAGGUGAAGAGCAGUCACGCAGAAUGAAGUAAGUUUAAAGUUUGAAUUCUGUAUUGUUUUUUAUUAUUUUUGUUAAUCUUUGUACACUUUUUAGCAGAAAAAAGACGGAAAAGCGACAAUUUACCUGCCUCGUUGGUUUAUGGUCAACAAUCCCGAACUAGCUAGAGGCCAGCCAAUAUAUAAGUUCGAGGGAAUCGGUUACUUCUCUCUGGUGGACUGUUACAAAUUCGCUGAAUAGCUUGUUUUCUCCCACCCGUGCCGUUGCAGCCUGGCAAAAGGUCUGGGCCGACAAACAACAGCAUCUGAAACGUAAGUUGCAACACAAUAAAGGUGAAUUAACGGCCACUGACGGUGGGUCAAAUACGUUGCACUCGUUCAAUGAUUUAGAGAAAACUUUAAAUCGCCUCCUUGUACUUGAGAGAACGGUUAAUCACAAUGGCUCUGUUUUUGGAACACCAUCAUCACACAGUACAACAGUCCAAGAACAAAAAGAUGAUUCAAGCAAAAUUCAGGUUAGACCAACGCAUGACAACGCAGAACCUAAAACAAGUCAGUUGGCAAGACAUGAAUGAUAACGAGCAACCAAGGGUACUCUCCGGAAAGCUCUCUUCGAAAAGCAUACUGACGAUCUCAACAAGAUCUAACGUCAUGUAGCCGAAUACGCCCAAUAUUCUCGCAAAUCAAAGGGCAAAUUAUGUUGGACAGCCAAAACCAAAAAACUCAGCAGUUGCAAUAUCUGCUGCAGUUGCUGUAGUAUAAAAUGUUGAAGUUUAACUUCGAAAUGGGACGAACAAUUGGUAGUAAUGACGACCAAUACUUUUACCCAAUGAUUGACAAAAAUGAUAGUAACGACGAGUGAAUAUUUUUACAAUUAUGAGCAUUAUAUUACUAUCUACUUCCUUAAUUAUAUUUUUGACAAAAGCUGUUGUACAACCUCCUUGUUCUGAAUUCACACGUUUUAAAUAAAUAUCCGUUUAAGGAAGUUCGAAAAAAGGUUGACAAUCAUUUCAUAUCACAACCAGUCCUCUUUUCUAUGUUAACAGGAAAAAAUAUAACUAUUAAAUCUUACUUAAACAUAAAAUCAAAGAUUUAAUAAUCCAAAUAAUUUAACAUUUUCAACCUAACAUUUCUAAAUAAUAAUAUUAUAAAACAGGCUUCAAAUGGACAUUGCACUAUUUAAUAAAACGAUUUUACGUUCUUUUAUUCCCCCAUUUUUGGUUAUAAUUAUUGAUAAGUGCUGACAAUAAUAUUGCUGUCAUUCUUGUCUUAGUUGUUUCCACUGCUAUCCCCACCUCCGCCCGAAUUCUUUCCAGUUAGAGUAUUCACGUUCACCACAUCCAAGUGAGAAUGAAGACGAGUUCACCUUAUUCGCGACAAUCCACUGGGCAGGUUUAACGGGACCAGCCGGCUUGACACCGGAUUCGGACAGUGUGGAAAAGGCUUUCACCGAAUACACGCUCUUUUGCACCCUUCGGGGGAACGACUGUUCCCACCUUGAACACUACGCUGGAAACUUUCUACCAUACUCCGUUGCUUGGCUGACAUAGCGUUCAAAUUUACUGUACGUUCGUAUCCGUCGGAUUUCUUAUGCUUGACUUAGUGGUUCCUGUUGAAAGUAAAGCAAAGAUUGAACAAUUUCUUCAACAUCAGCUUGUUCACUAAAACUCACCUGGUAACGCCGGAAAGUCCGCUGCUCUGGGUUCAUCCCCCCAUUGUAAUUUUACUACUAAAGCCUUCUUUAAUGAUGGUCAAUCCUGAACCUUCCCCACCUCGAGGGUUAGAAGUUCUCUUUCGUCCUGGCCAAACCUGUAACGCCAAACACUCGCUGUCGUACGGAAACAUUGUUAUUUCGGACCACCGGAUUGGCACCGGUUCCCCCGUACAUUCUGGACAGUUUGGCGAUGUGCUAACCAUGCAAACAUAAAUGAAGUUUUGAUUGAAUUAGUCAUCACAAAAACAAAAGUAUAAAAGUAGAGCACUUACCUAGGAAGAAAUUACUCCAAAGUAAAAUAAAUAUGUGAACUUUAACUUUUAACAAAUAAUUCUCUUCACUGUCGGUAUCAGAGCACAAUCCAUCAACACAAACAAAAUUUCCUACAGACAUCUUUCCGCUAAAAAAGGAAGCGACAAAAGCAGGCAAUCAUGAAUAACUCUCCAAGGUUAUUCCGAACAUCACCUCACUGUCACUCUCACUUCACGGUGUUCAUUUUCAUCACUUCACUUUCGGUGAUAACGGUAAUAGGUAGAAACAAGUGAAGUGACGUGUAGGUGAAGUGAAAGUGAACAUGAAUGUGAGAACGGUAGAAAGGGCCAUUGUUUGGUCACGUUUCACACACUAGGCAAAAGGAGCGAAAUUUUGCGUUGACUAACAGGCAAAGCGGCACACGGGUAGAUUUGUUUACGUAGCCCGUAAUUACAGCGGAGCGAUUUUUAGCUUCUCAAUUGGGAAAGAGGAGAAAUCAGGCUUAUUUUUCAGUGUAUAUUAUACAAAAUACGGUAAUCGUUAAAAUAUUUUUUGAAAGCAAUGCAUGCAAAAACUUCAAUACUCUUUUGAAAAAUUGCUUUUGUGUCAAAAGGGGCCCUUGAACAAUAACUUCGCUCUAUCUUGACAAUUCACCAUAUUGCGCAUGCGUGUCAAAAAUGCUAUGGCCAAAUUGAAUUAUUUAAGUUGAUAAUUACUUCCUAAACUAUUGAAUUCACCAGAAUUAUUGACUAUUUUUGGUUUCUAUGCUAGAUAUUGGGUGAACAUGUUCCAACCAAAUAAGAAUGUAUCCGGUCGUACCCCCACCAUAUAAGGUAAUGCCCUAUUAGGAAGAGUGUCGCAUUAUUUCGUAAAUUACUCGACGGAAUGCCUAUAAAUUAGUGUCAAUAUUUCUAGAGAAAAUUUUCAAUAGGACGUAAGUAACAAUGAGAGAUUCUCUUUGGGGUCUUUCUCUUCUGUUCAUUACUCGGCAAUUUCAACAUUUACUACUCUACUCUUUGCAUAAUAUUCUAGUAAAAACCGUCGGCUUUCGAUAUGUACUGGAAAAUUAGUGCAAAGUGUUGUAAUGACGUCGUAAUAAACGAAAGAGAAAGUAAACAAAGAGAGGCUCUCAAUGUUACUUACGUCCUAUUGAAAAUUUUCUCUAGAUUUUUACUUCGUUCUCAGGAACCAGUAAAUCAAAACUCGAGUCGAGUGUUCUAAUUUUUACCUUUUGACUGCAAUGGCCCAAGCUUAAGCUUCCGUCACUCGCGCUAGUGCACUGAGUGCACGCCGCUCUGAACAUCCAGCGAAUCGUCUUAGGGGAACAACGGCUGCUCGUUCAGUGAGCCAUUUGUGCGAUCUCCAGAGGGUUAACUACAUUUUUGUUUUUUUCUUUUUGGUAAUAACUUUUGUUUUACGAAACGCAACAAUUCGCCCUAAUUACAAGUUUCUUAUGACUGUCCAAGCAACAUUGCUAAUAUUCGAAUACAAACAAGAGAUACAGGGUAAAGUUAAAAAGUGGCCCAACCCCAACGAAAUUCCCAUACAAAAAAAUCAACAUAUCGUAUAUCUUCUGAACAAAACUCGCGAACGCGUGGAUAUGAAGUUUUUCGUACCUUUCAACUUGCCAAUAUUCUCAGAAAAGUACCCUAUAAUUUUAAAAUAUUGCAGCAACAAUCCAUAGCCCAUCAUCAUAGUUUGGACAUUUUACAAGCAUCCGACUUUUAUUUAUAUAGUUGCGCAUGACUGAUGUUUUCCACCCUCACACCGAUAUCCCAAUAGAGGAGGAAUAUAUUAUAACAGCGUACCACCUCGUAGCUGUGCAAACUAAUUUCCGCUUGAUUUUCACGAAUGCAUCGCACAGUUGCGUGUUGAAUCGUUCCGCUUCGAUAUUUUGUUUAUUAAAUUUAAGACGUAAGUAUUCGUACAAUAAAAUUUGAGAUUAACCUCGUAUUUCGGUACUUUGGAAACACCACCAAAUAAUUUGUUGCUACUUCACAUCGCAUGCACCCGGCGAAACGUUCGUCUAAUUCAUCCCGUCUACACCAACGCCACGCUUCACCGGCUGAUACGUGUGGUCACUGUGGGUGGAUAAUGUGCAGUGCAUUGGGUGGUAAAUUUGCGAAAGGUCAA